rnacentral:lncRNA from 7 species
UGGGAAACCUCUUGCCGCCACCACGUUUAUCUAGCAUCCCCAGAGCAUCGAGGACGAAAGCCGACCGCGGGUGCUGCUGCGCUAGCAACUCAGCGGGAGGGGGAAAGAGAUGCGGGGUUCACCGUCGCACCUAGAGAGUGGGUGUCAUGCGAGUGUGGCCGAUUCCCCACCAGGCAGGGACUUCGCCCCCGAACAGAUCACGACGCGCGGGACCUCGGAGCCUGUGACUGAGGAUCCU